GGUUCGCACAAGGUAAACUGCAAAUUUACUAAGGCUUAAAGCGUGAGCUU
rnacentral:tRNA from 1 species